AACGAACGCUGGCGGCAUGCCUAACACAUGCAAGUCGAACGAGACCUUCGGGUCUAGUGGCGCACGGGUGCGUAACGCGUGGGAACCUGCCCUUAGGUUCGGAAUAACUCCCCGAAAGGGGUGCUAAUACCGGAUAAUGUCUUCGGACCAAAGAUUUAUCGCCUUUGGAUGGGCCCGCGUUGGAUUAGCUAGUUGUUAGGGUAAAAGCCUACCAAGGCGACGAUCCAUAGCUGGGCUGAGAGGAUGAGCAGCCACACUGGGACUGAGACACGGCCCAGACUCCUGCGGGAAGCAGCAGUGGGGAAUAUUGGACAAUGGGCGAAAGCCUGAUCGAGCAAUGCCGCGUGAGUGAUGAAGGCCUUAGGGUUGUAAAGCUCUUUUACCCGGGAUGAUAAUGACAGUACCGGGAGAAUAAGCACCGGCUAACUCCGUG
rnacentral:rRNA from 1 species